GUGCACACUUUGGCAGCACAUAUACUAAAAUCAGAAUAACACAGAGAAGAAUAGCAAUGGUCCCUGUGCCAAGGAUGACACACAAAUGCGUGAAGUGUUCCAUGAGAAA